GGCUCAGAUUGAACGCUGGCGGCAGGCCUAACACAUGCAAGUCGAGCGGUAGAGAGAAGCUUGCUUCUCUUGAGAGCGGCGGACGGGUGAGUAAUACCUGGGAAUCUGCCUGAUAGUGGGGGAUAACGUUCGGAAACGGACGCUAAUACCGCAUACGUCCUACGGGAGAAAGCAGGGGAUCUUCGGACCUUGCGCUAUCAGAUGAGCCCAGGUCGGAUUAGCUUGUUGGUGAGGUAACGGCUCACCAAGGCUGCGAUCCGUAACUGGUCUGAGAGGAUGAUCAGUCACACUGGAACUGAGACACGGUCCAGACUCCUACGGGAGGCAGCAGUGGGGAAUAUUGGACAAUGGGGGAAACCCUGAUCCAGCCAUGCCGCGUGUGUGAAGAAGGUCUUCGGAUUGUAAAGCACUUUAAGUUGGGAGGAAGGGYUGAUGCUUAAUACGUAUCA
rnacentral:rRNA from 1 species